rnacentral:rRNA from 1 species
AUUGAACGCUGGCGGCAGGCCUAACACAUGCAAGUCGAGCGAGCGGCGGACGGGUGAGUAAUGUCUGGGAAACUGCCGGAUGGAGGGGGAUAACUACUGGAAACGGUAGCUAAUACCGCAUACCAUCAGAUGGGCCCAGAUGGGAUUAGCUAGGAGGUGGGGUAAUGGCUCCCCUCGGCGACGAUCCCUAGCGGGGCUGGGAGGAUGAGCAGCCCCACUGGAACGGCGACACGGUCCAGACUCCUACGGGAGGAAGCAGUGGGGAAUAUUGCACAAGGGGCGCAAGCCUGAUGCCGCCAUGCCGCGUGUGUGAAGAAGGCCUUCGGGUUGUAAAGCACUUUCAGCGAGGAGGCGUUACUCGCAGAAGAAGCACCGGCUAACUCCGUGCCAGCAGCCGCGGUAAUAC